rnacentral:lncRNA from 1 species
GGGAGCCCAAGAAGAGCUACAAGAGCAAGCAGAUCUGCAGAAAAAGAGAAAAAGAUGCAGUGCAGAAAAAUCAGGCCCAGGCUCCCCAAAAGGGGGCUGGGCGCCACAAAAGGGGGCUGGGGCGCUUCAAAAGGGGGUUGGGCGCCCUUUCAUGCUGUUUCACCUCAAAAUAUGGCGCCUGGGCACCCCUGAAGGGGGUUGGGCACCCUUUGUUGCUAUGUUUUCAUUUAAUAUUGGCACUCGGGCGCCCCAGAAAAGGGGGUUGGGCGCGACUUUUUGCUAACUUGGCACCCUAGAUCUAUAAAAGGCUCACAUGCAAUGAGGGCGCCAUCUUCUUG